rnacentral:tRNA from 2 species
GUCGGGAUAGCUCAGCCGGUAGAGCAGAG